rnacentral:rRNA from 1 species
UACGUAGGCAGCGAGCGUUGUUCGGAGUUACUGGGCGUAAAGAGUGCGUAGGCGGUGCCCUAAGUCUGGUGUGAAAUCUCCCGGCUCAACCGGGAGGGUGCGCCGGAAACUGGGGUGCUCGAGUGUGGGAGAGGCAGGCGGAAUUCCCGGUGUAGGCGGUGAAAUGCGUAGAUAUCGGGAGGAACACCCGCGGUGUAGACGGCCUGCUGGACCACGACUGACGCUGAGGCACGAAAGCGUGGGGAGCAAACAGGAUAGAAACCCCAGU